GUCUUGUCUAUGAUGUUUUUAAACACAAAUGUCUGAACAAAUGAUUUCCCAUGAUUCAUUCGUAUUUACUGAGACAAGAC